AGAGUUUGAUCCUGGCUCAGAAUCAACGCUGGCGGCGUGCCUAACACAUGCAAGUCGCACGAGAAAGGGGAGCAAUCCCUGAGUAAAGUGGCGCACGGGUGAGUAACACGUGAAUAAUCUACCUCCGAGUGGGGAAUAACUGAGAGAAAUCUUAGCUAAUACCGCAUAAUACCCACGGGUCAAAGCAGCAAUGCGCUUGGAGAGGAGUUCGCGGCCGAUUAGCUAGUUGGCGGGGUAAUGGCCCACCAAGGCGAUGAUCGGUAUCCGGCCUGAGAGGGCGCACGGACACACUGGAACUGAAACACGGUCCAGACUCCUACGGGAGGCAGCAGUGGGGAAUUUUGCGCAAUGGGGGAAACCCUGACGCAGCAACGCCGCGUGGAGGAUGAAGCCCCUUGGGGUGUAAACUCCUUUCGAUCGGGAAGAUAAUGACGGUACCGAUAUAAGAAGCCCCGGCUAACUUCGUGCCAGCAGCCGCGGUAAUACGAGGGGGGCAAGCGUUGUUCGGAAUUAUUGGGCGUAAAGGGUGCGUAGGCGGUUUGACAAGUCUGAUGUGAAAUCUAUGGGCUCAACCCAUAGUCUGCAUCGGAAACUGUCGGGCUUGAGUAUGGGAGAGGUGAGUGGAAUUUCCGGUGUAGCGGUGAAAUGCGUAGAUAUCGGAAGGAACACCUGUGGCGAAAGCGGCUCACUGGACCAUUACUGACGCUGAGGCACGAAAGCUAGGGGAGCAAACAGGAUUAGAUACCCUAGUAGUCC
rnacentral:rRNA from 1 species